rnacentral:rRNA from 1 species
CCUACGGAGGCAGCAGUGGGGAAUAUUGGACAAUGGGCGCAAGCCUGAUCCAGCCAUGCCGCGUGAGUGAUGAAGGCCCUAGGGUUGUAAAGCUCUUUUACCCGGGAAGAUAGUGACGGUACCGGGAGAAUAAGCCCCGGCUAACUUCGUGCCAGCAGCCGCGGUAAU